AUUCUGAGAAAAUGCAGACCUUUAAUAUAUAAUCUAACUCUCUGCCUGAAAUGAUUAAUGUGGUUGCAUCUCAGAUGACAAGCCGUAAGUACUAAGUUCAGUAAACUUGCUCAGGCUUCUGCUUUUCCAGUCUCCACAGUAAUACACAGAAUAACUAUACAACAGUGAGCUGAGCAGCAAGUUAGGGAAGUCUUGAUUGUACAGACAUUGAAACUGCUCUGUAGUAAUAAAUUCAUGAGCAAUGAGGAUACACACCAAGAAAUUGGACUUCUCCUAUGCACUAACGUAGCGCUGUUUUCAGUGCUGUUGUCAGAUGGCAAAUUUCCUCACGAAGUGGUUCGAAACAAUGUCAAGUCCCAUAGGACACUGAAGUAAGUGUCAUCUCCAAUUCGAAUGAGAUGCCUAAACUUUGUUAUGCUGCAAUCACAAAAAGACGCUGGCUGUUAAAGACGCACUCCAUAUGGCAGUUGGAGAGAAGCAGCACAAACUUCAGCUGGUCUGAAGACAGAGUCUUCGGGGGAGGAGGCAGCUCCCACAAUCACGCCGAAGAACAUGCACAAUGAGAUACAGGCUGAAGGUGCAGGGAAGCAAGAAACCUGCCACAUCCACCAUAAGAACAGCUCAGCGUGAGUACUGAAAAGCCCUGCACCAUCAUGUACUGCUGAAAGAUGGACAGAUCUCUAUUUAUUGUUCCUUGUUACCAGGGAAGAGGUGCAAGGUAACUGAACGUGGAUAUGGAGAAGGGAAUCUGAUACAUCCUGGUGGCCAAGGCCUGCCCCCUCCUGUCUGAGUGAGGACAACACCUGGGACCCUUGUCAUUCCUCCUGUUCCUUUGGCUCCUGCUACCCAUAAGGCUCUGGGUAUACUUGCUGAUCGUUCUCUAGCACUGACAGCUUUCUGCAUCACAAGAUUGUGCAGUGUGCAGCACAUGAUGGUAUUUGUUUGGUGUGAUCUGCAGGAGGAUCCCAGAUGGAUUCAAGCAAGGAAACUCACCUCAAGAAGUCAGUGAUAUUUGUCAUUACUUUCCUGGUAUGUGCAAAUCUCUCAUUGUAUCUGUGGCCAGCUGGUGAGGUUGGAGUGCUCACCGAAUUGAGGACACCUUGAGGAGAAGGAAGCCUCUGUUCCCCUGGAUCUGUUAACCAGUGAUAACUCAGGCAAUUGUAUAGCAGCAGCAUGGACUCUGUAAGAAUGAAGGAGUCAUGUGUGCUUCCUGGAAAUCUCAUGAUCACCCAAAUUAUGACAAAACUCUUCUCAUGAUUCACAACUCCUUGCUGAGGGAGUGGAAGCCAUUUUUGUUCAAGAAAACACCCAGUUUAUUAAGGGGUAUUCUUAUUGGCACAACAGUGAAGUCGGUCUAAAGCCCAUAGAGAUGGCAAUUGGGCAAUAUUAUUUUAUGAUUCUGUUUCUAGCUGUUGUAUUAAUGUAUGUCCUAUUGAAGACCCAAAGUUUCACUGUUAAAAACACAUUAAGACAAAGAAGUGUAAUGUUUUUCACUACCACUCUAAUUGCUCCCAUUGAUCUAACUGGCCUUACCCUAACAGAGAUAUUCCCCCGAUCUACACACUUCUCCCCCUUAGUUCUCUGUGACUGAAAACUAACUUAAUUUUCAAUCUUUCCCACUUCUGACAAAGGCUCCCUGCAACAUUAACUGUUUCAGAAGGUGCAGAAGGUUGUAAAUCUAGUCAGCUCCGUCUUGGGCACUAGCCUACUAAGUACCCAGGACAUCUUCAGGGAGCGGUGUCUCAGAAAGGCAGCGUCCAUUAUUAAGGACCUCCAGCACCCAGGGCAUGCCCUUUACUCACUGUUACCAUCAGGUAGGAGAUACAGAAGCCUAAAGGCACACACUUAGCAAUUCAGAAACAGCUUCUUCCCCUCUGCCAUCUGAUUCCUGAACGAACUUUGAAGCUUUGGACGCUACCUCAUUUUUUUUUAAAUAUACAGCAUUUCUGUUUUUGCACAUUUUUUAUAAUCUAUUCAAUAUACGUAAUUGACUUACUUGUUUAAUAUUAUGUUUUAUUUUAUUUAUUAUUUUUUUCUCUCUCUCUGCUAGAUUAUGUAUUGCAUUGAUCUGCUGCUGCUACGUUAUCAAAUUUCACAUCACUUGCCGAAGAUAAUAAACCUGAAUCUGAUCUGAUCAAUGUCCACAGAUGCUGCCUGAUCUGCUGAGAGUUUCCAGCAUUUUCUGUUUUUACAUUUGAAAAGGGAUUGUUUUGCAUUAUUAACUUUGCUAGGCACUUGAAGGAUAAAUUGCAGGUGGAGAUGAGACCAAGCUGAAGAAUUCCAACUAUUGCAGAAGGGAGGAAUGGGAGGAACAGAGAGAUGUGAAGAGCACUUGUAGCUCUAACUGCUCAGGUGCUUCACCUAUUCACGUAACUAAGACUAGGAAAUGAGGAAACUAUACAUUCUCAAAGAGAUCUCAGAGAGGAAAGACACCACUAGACUGCAAUUGCUGUCACAAUUGUACCUAACUUAUGCCAGUGGGAUUUUGCUGACUGAUGCAUGCACCAUAAUCUAUAUGCCACAUAAAUGGAGAGGAGAUUGAUUUUCUUGCAGCUUCACAAGCUCUAAGAAAUGGUCAUGUGCAUUUUCCCUAUGACUGGAGGUGACCCGAACGAGAUGCAACAGAAUUGUGCAAGAUUAUAGAAUUUUCCCUAAACUGGAAGGCCGCUGACUGUAGACAACAACUGUACGCGUGUGGCCAUGCAAACCCUUCAUUUAAGCAAAGGAGUUUUCGAAAGAAGGGGAGGAUUCUACUUCCUUUAUAGCAACUAGUGAGUCCUGAGUAGCAGUGCAUCAUGCAGGCAUACUCAGGCAUUGGUUGCAUUGCUUUCAUUAAUCUUACAGCGUUCAAUUCCAGAGCAAUGCAUAUGGACAUGUUCAGGAUGACAAGGGGUGCUUCUGACGUAAUUGCUCUUCAAACCCAGAUUCUUCCAUGUGCUUCUCCCCCACAGGCAUGAUGUGAAUGUUUCAGAUCACCUGUCCAUUUUAUUUUUGCAUGUUUUGUUCACCAAAUCCAUCUUUUUUUUAUGCUCAGACAGGAAAAGCCCUCAUCCAGCUCCAGCAGAAAUGUUCAGUGCACUGGAUUCAGCACUAAACAUAAUUACUCUGGUGCAGAUUCCACCAAGUUCACAUCAGUCACAUCCUUGUCUAGUAAGGGAAGUGGUUAGCUCACAGCAAAACUCAGCUUAAAGACAUAAGAUAUUAAAAAAUUAAAACAACAUGUGCACUUGCAAGCAGUAAUAUAAAAGUGAAUGUGCUUGGGUACAUAAGUGACCCCAGCUCCACAUAAACUGUGAACCUCACUGUAAAAUAAAUGAACAGGCAAUUGUAGGUGUCAAUAUAUAAUAAAUAGGAGUUGUGAAGAAGAUCCUUCUUCAACAGACCUGCCCGCUUGGUCUCUUUUGCGCACAUAAAACAAGGUUAUUUCUUUUAAGUUUCUGUUUGAUCGACUUGGCACACACCACAUGCUGUGCUGGAAGCUGGAGAGUUGGUGGGAGAAAGCUAAGUGCAAGCAGUAGGUGCAUAAUAGCUUGUUUCUUCACUAUUGUUGACUGUUUAUAAUUUUUAACACUUGAUGAAGGUUUCAAUUCUCUGUGUUUUUAAGAGUGAAGAACAACUGUAAAGGAGUGACCCUUUAUAAUCAAAGGACUUCUGCUGAGUGAUAUACUCCUCCAUAAAUAUUUGCCAUAUCAUUUCAACUAAAUGUCUAACAGGAGAAUGGAAAUGAUGCUUUGGAUAUCUACAUCUGUUAAUAUGAAAAAAUGUGUCUAGAAUUAUUUCAGCUCAUGGGUCUCCCAGCUGUAAUUCAAUGACAGAGGCAUUUCAGAAGAUUGCCAAAUAUUUUUCAUGAUUAUCAGAGGAAUCAUUGUAUAAAUGGAGUUCACUGAGAGAUAUAGAACCCGGAAUGGUUAUUUUACAACACCUGGUUGGUUUUUCAGUUCUAAUUUACUCCACAAACCUUUAAUGAAUUCACUGCUGUUUAAAGCAAAGCAGAAAAUAGCAAUAGUGAUAUGAGAUAAAGAAACAAGAAUGGAUGCGCUGGAAGAGUUUUACAAAAGCCAGGUGAUGAAACAUUAUUUAAAUUAGGACUGGAGAGGAAACAUUAUUAAAAUGAAGACUGGUGAUGAAAGAUGAAUGCUGGAGAGACUGGAAGCUGAAACAAAACCCAGAAUUGCUGGGAGUACUGAGGCAGAUUUUGGCAUGAGGGAAAGUGUAACUGGUUCAUGUCACUCACUCACCAUUCAUCUGGCUUAUGAAGAUUACAAAACUCCAUAAUCACUAAUCACCAAAUCAGAAUCAAAAUCAAAAUCAGGUUUAUUACCACUUACAUAUGUUGUGAAAAUGGCUGUUUUGUGACAGCAGUACAGUGCAAAAUAUAAGCAUUACUAUGAAUUGCAAAUAAAUAAACAAAGGCAGAAUAGGAACUAAAUGCUGCCUGCCUUCUGUUGGACAUCUUUGUUCACAUAUUAUUGUAAAGAUGGAUGUGUAUGCGGUCAUCUCGGUAAGAUGGCACCAGCAAUCAAUGCAAUUUACAGCAACGUCCUGCAGACAGUUCACAAAAUUCCUUCUUUUUUUAAACAUGCUUCAGCUACUGAACUGUAUGCAAUUGGAGCCAGUAACUUACAUUUUGAUAAUGCGUUUUUUAACCCAACCAAGCAACCUGCUGCCUCCAAGGAAAUUUGACGUGAUUGAGAGCAAGGUUGGGAAUGGAAUUUGCUGCCUAAUUGGCAAGGCACGAACCCAUGAUCAGUUCCAAUUCUCAACCAACUGGCCCAUUAAAGCAUUGAGCAUGAUUGAAAUCACUGAGGACGAGAGCGGAAGGUGAGUCGGAGUUCAAUGCCGUCUACCUGUGUUUGACCAGUCUCCCUCAUCCUCACUGAUGCUGGAGGAAGGUAUAGGAGUCUUGGGUCUUGGGCAAGGUCUGAUCUGCGCAUUUUGUGGAUUGGGCUAAUUUUUAUGGGGCUCAGCAUUACAUGUUAUACGCAUUUUUGGUUUCUGAUUAUUCCUUUUCUAUUGCGACUUUGCACAAUUUUGAUUGGGGCAGACUGGCUCUGUGGCCUGCAGUCAAUGAAUGACACAAUGUUAAAUUGAACUGAACUGCACUAAACUGAAUAUUCCUACACUGCUUCAGGGCCUCUGUCAUUUGAUGUUUGACAUUCUGUGUAUUAUUUGCUCAUUUUAUUGUCAUUUGCGUGAUUCAUUCUGUUUUUUUUUUGAGCAUUGGGUAUUUGAUGUUUUCUUUGAAUGGUUCGAUGGUGGUUCUUUGUUUUGUUCCUGUCUAUUAAGAUUAAUUGUUGAACUGGUUUAUUUUCAGUGCCUAAGGAGGGGCUUGAUAUAUUUAAUAACUAUGACUAUCUGGUAGAUUUUCUUCACCCUGAGAUCAGCCCUCACUUGCUCUUCUGGGAUCGCGACACAUUGGGUGUUGGUCUUUUUUUUAAUUGGGUUUCUUGCUUUCUGGCUGCCCGUAAGCAGACAUAUCUCAAGAUUGUAUAAUGAGUACAUACUUUGAUAAUAAAUGUACUUGAAUCCUUUGAAGGUCCCAGGUCAAGUCCCACCACAUGAGCCUGGCUGUCUGCAGCAUAACAUAAGGUAGGUUCCCUUUCAGUCUAAGUAUCUGUCUGUGGUGCCAAACAAUGAGGCACAAUCCAGAAUCAUGAACUUUCAAAGCUGUCAAUGAAAUCUAAUAUUUCUGAUUAUAGUACCCCUCAGCCAUUAGGCUCUUGAACCAAAAGGAAUAACUUCACUCAACUUCACUCACUCCAUCACUGAACUGUUCCCACAACCUAUAGACUCACUUUCAAGGACUCAUCAUCUCAUGAUCCUGAUAUUUAUUGCUCAUUUAAUCAUUAUUAUUUUGUUUGGUUUUUUUUCUUUUUCUAUUUGCACAUUUUGUUGCCUUUUGCACAUUGGUUAUUUAUCCGUCCUGCUGGGUGCAGUCUUUUAUGAAAUCUACUGCAUUUCUUGGGUAUGCUCACAAGGAAACAAAUCUCAGGGUUGUACGUGGUGAUAUAUAUAUCUAUAUAAAUACAGUGGUAUGCAAAAGUUUGGGCACCCGUGGUCAAAAUUUCUGUUACUGUGAAUAGUUAAGUGAGUAGAAAAUGGACUGAUCUCCAAAAGUCAUAAAGUUAAAGAUGAAACACACUUUUCAACAUUUUAAGCAUUAUUUUUGUUAUGUACAAUUGUAGAGUGAAAAAAAGGAAAGGAGCACCAUGGAAAACUUUGGAUACCCCAAAAGAUUUGAGCUCUCAGAUAACGUUUACCAAGGUCACAGACCUUAAUUAGCUUGUUAGGGCUAUGGCUUGUUCACAGUCAUUGUUAGGAAAGGCCAGGUGAUGCAAAUUUCAAAGCUUUACAAAUACCCUGACUCCUCAAAACCUUGUCACAACAAUCAGCAGCCAUGGGCUCCUCUGAGCAGCUGCCUAGCACUCUGAAAAUUAAAAUAAAUGAUGCCCACAAAGCAGGAGAAGGCUAUAAGAAGAUAGCAAAGCGUUUUCAGGUAGCCGUUUCCUCAGUUCAUAGUGUAAUUAAGAAAUGGCAGUUAACAGGAACAGUGGAGGUCAAAUUGAGGUCUGGAAGACGAAGAAAACUUUCCAAAAGAACUGCUCGCAGGAUUGCUAGAAAGGCAAAUUAAAGCCCCCAUUUGACUGCAGAAGACCUUCAGGAAGAUUUAGCAGACACUGGAGUGGUGGUGCACUGUUCUACUCUGCAGCGACACCUGCACAAAUAUGACCUUCAUGGAAGAGUCAUCAGAAAAAAACCUUCCCUGCAUCCUCACCACAAAAUUCAGCGUCAGAUGUUUGCAAAGGAACACCUAAACAAGCCUGAUGCAUUUUGGAAACAAGUCCUGUAGACUGAUGAAGUUAAAAUAGAACUUUUUGGCCACAAUGAGCAAAGGUAUGUUUGGAGAGAAAAAGGGUGCAGAAUUUUGUGAAAAGAACACCAACUGUUAAGCAUGGGGGUCGAUCGAUCAUGCUUUGGGCUUGUGUUGCAGCCAGUGGCACGGGGACCAUUUCACUGGUGGAGGGAAGAAUGAAUCCAAUUAAAUACCAGCAAAUUCUGGAAGCAAACAUCACACUGUCUGUAAAAAGAAGCUGAAGAUGAAAAGAGGAUGGCUUCUACAACAGGAUAAUGAUCCCAAACACAUCUCAAAAUCUACCUCAAGAGGCACAAGCUGAAGGUUUUGCCAUGGCCCUCACAGUCCCCCGACCUAAACAUCAUCGAAAAUACGUGGAUAGAUCUCAAAAUAGCAGUGCAUGCAAGAUGGCCCAAGAAUCUCACAGAACUAGAAGCCUUUUGCAAGGAAGAAUGGGCUAAAAUCCCCCAAACAAGAAUUGAAAGACUCUUAGCUGGCUGCAGAAAGCAUUUACAAGCUGUGAUACUUGCCAAAGGGGGUGUUACUAAGUACUGACCACGCAGGGUGCCCAAACUUUGCUUCGGGCCCUUUUCCUUUUAAGUUAUUCUGAAACUGUAAAAGGUGGAAAUAAAAAGGUAAUCUUGCUUAAAAUAAUAAAGAAACGUGUCAUCUUUAACUUCAUGCCUUUUACUUGCUUAGCUAUUCAUGGUAACAGAAAUUUUGACCAGGGGUACCCAAACCUUUGCAUGCCACAAGUGUGUGUGUGUAUAUAUAUACACACACACUUAGAUAUUAAAUCUACUUGAAACUUCAUAUUUGAUAUUAACAAGCAUUCUAAAAUAAUUAUGAAAUAUUAAAAUUUUAAAUGAUGUAACAAUGCAAAUUAAAGCACAACCACCUCAACUUACUGACUAAAAUCAAGGAAGAUGGAUCAUGCUGUGGACAUCUGUUUCUUCUCAUUGAUUUCAAUGCGUCUGCUGUGCUGGUGCUGUGGUUAAGGUGGUGUAGUGUGUGGGAUUUUAAGCAUUUCUGAUGGACUCCAUGUAGAGUACAUAGGCAGAGCACAGAGACAGGCAACGGCAAAGCAGCAUGGCAGAAGCUACUAUUGCUGACUUCAACCUACAACAGCACUGCAUUCAAGACUUCCUCAAAGAAAUACAAAUAAGCCCUGGCAGAAAACCCGUGCCUCAGAAAAUCUAUACCAUUGUUAAAAAAAUGUCUAUAUCAGUAACUACUAAACUUAGUUCUUUGUAGCUCUUUUAAUUUGUACCUGUCACACACAUAUAAAAAAUUCUCUUCAUUCAAUGCAUUUCAAGGUUGAGGCAGCUUCAUUUUUGUGGAAGUGUUUUGAGAACAGAGCAGUGUUACAAUGCAGACAGCAACUUUAGAAUGUUAAUACUUAAUUGCACACUCUGUUUUCUUGAAUUUUCUGUGUCUAUUUACACAAAAUUUUGGGCAAAUAUCUUAAGCUUCGACAUACCUUGAAAGCAAAAUCUGACCCAGUACCUGUAAUAAUAAGCAGCUGUUUUUUUUUUACUUUCCUUUCCCAAUAUCUUGAAAAUGUGUGCAAAAUAGAGAACGUAGCUAAUCCAUAUUGCAUCUACGCUGUAGGUGAAACAAUACCACAUACAGAGGAUCUAAAUGCAAAAUAGCUUUCUCUAGCAGAUGUCACUGCCAAACCCAGAAAUACAACACUGGCUACCAGAGGAAAAAAAAUCACAUCACUCAUUUUGUAGAAGCAAGCUGAUUAGUAGCACUUCUUUGUUCACCCUUAGUCAAACGGGUGUUAUUUGCAGAGCCUCAUAAUUUUAAGAUGAUGACAAUUUGCUUCCCUUACAAAGGAGCAAAACAUCUUUUAUUUUGCAAAUGGUCUCUGCUCAGCAUCUGUGUCAUGAAGUUAUGAAAUUAUCAAUCACAGAAACAAGCACUUUCAAGUCAAAGUCAAUUUAUUAUCAAACUACUUAUAUGUUAACAUAUAGUACCUUGCAGGCAUUUACAGGAAAAAUAAAUAAAAUAUAAUUUAUGAAAACUAUGCAUUGACAAAGGCUGUUAAAUACUAAUGUGCAAAAGAAGGCAAAUUAAGCAAAUAAAAACAAAUACUGAGAACAUGAGUUGUAGAGUUAUUGAGAGUGAGUCUGUAGCUUGUGGAAUUAGUUCCGAGUGGAGUUAUUCAUAUCAGUUCCGGAGCCUCAUUAUUCUGGGGUAACAACUGUUCCUGAACCUGGUGGUGUGGACCCUAUGGCUCUGGAUGGCAGAAGCAAUAAGAGCAUGGUCUGGAUGUGGGGUCCUCGAAGUCGGAUGUUACUUUCUUGUGGCAGUGUUCCAUGUAAUUGUUCUCAGUGCUGGGGAUGGCUUUGCCCAUGAUGGACUGGGCUACAGUCACCACUUUCUGUAACUUUUCUGUUCCUAGGCAUUGAUGUUCCCAUACCAGGCAGUGAUGCAACCCACUAAGCCAGCAUUCAUUAUCAGACACCCACCAAUGCAAGUCAUAUUUUAUUCUCCCCACGUUGUCAUUUUUUCUCUCUCAGGUUCUGCCACUCUGAUAGACAUCAAUUUAUAAUGAACACUUUAUAUAUCAACUCAUAUAUCUUUGGCACAUAGGAGGAAACCAGAGCAAAGAAAACCCAUGUGAUCACACAAACUCCACACUGGCAGCACUGGAGAUCAGGAUUGAACCCGUCACUGGAGCUGUGUGACAGUAGCUCUGAUGGAAAUGGCACUGUGCUCUGCCUUUGCUGGCAAGACAAAGUUAAACACUUGCAAACUUUCAUUUCCUGUAGAACUAUCACAAUAUUUCUUUCACUGACUUUCAAUUCAUUUUGAAAAAUACAUUGUUAUUAAUAAAAAUGUGCAUUAGUAUAUGACAAAACCUCUUCCUAUUGUGAAUCAGUUUGCUACAGUGGACAGAACCUACUGAACUGUAGAUUUUACUGGUCUAAGAUAAACUGACAUCGGUACAUAUAGUAACUGUUUUUUCAGCAUCAAGGCCAAAAAAAGGAUGGCAUAUAAUCCAUCAGCAAAAAUCAAAAACAGGGUUAUCCACUAUCCGUGCUUGAUAGCAUGUGUAAAUCCAUUGUCCUCUCCUUCAGAUUCCUUCCUCUCCAGCCCUUUAUCUUUCCCACCCACUUAUCACCUUCUUGCUAUCCUUCUUCCCCUCUCCCCACCUUUUUACUCUGGCAUCUUCCUGCUUCCUUUCCAGUCCUAAAGAAGGGUCUCAGCCUAAAAUGUUGACUUUUUGUUCACCUCCAUGGAUGCUUCCUGACCUGCUGAGUCACAACCACAGAUUUAACAGCGCAGUAGAUACAGCGUGUGGCCAAGUGGUUAAGGCAUUCGUCUAGUUAACUGAAGGUCGCAAGUUCGAGCCUUGGCUGAGGCUUGCGCGUGUGUCAUUGAGCAAGGCACUUAACCACACCUUGCUCUGUGACGACACCAGUGCCAAGCUGUGUGGGUCCUAAUGCCCUUCCCUUGGACAACAUUGGUGGCGUGGAGAGGGGAGACUCUCCACCAGUCUUUCCAAUCUUUCCAAGGUGCAAAUCCAUGGACUAUCGAGACUAAUGGAGGCCUACCACAGAUACAGCAAUUGCGCUUGUGAAUUUGAACCUGUCAGCUAAUUAUAAUUUAAUUGUGAUAGUAUUUAACUCCAUGCUUGUCGUCGUAGUGCUUGUCGAGACUUGGACAGAGCAUAGCAAUGCUUCACUGCUGUUCUGCAUUCUGCUUUCCCUGAGAUAUUGAACCUUCAAAUCAACUGAAGCGGUACUCGUUUAGUAUUUAGAUGUUCUUUUCAGCCGCAGUGUAGGCUUCGUUUUUCUUUGAGAGUUUUAGUUAACGGCCCUGUUUGGCCUAGUGUUCAUUGUUUUAUUUUCCCUUUAACACUCUUCGUAUUAAAGUCCGUGAACUAUCGACCUGCCUCAGUGUCUCUCACUCUGCACUUGGGCCAUAUCCGAACCUGGUAACAUGCUGAGUUCUUACAGCAUUUUGUGUGUGGUACAGUAAAUAGUACAUCUUACUGGAAUAGCAUUAACUGGGAAAAUUAAGCAAGUUUGGUUCAUGUAACACAGUUCUCUUUGAACAUAGAACUAUUUAGCAUCGGGAUGUGAUGCUGAGGCUCUAUAAGGCACUUGUGGGACCACAAUUGGAGUAUAGUAUGCAGUUUUGGGCUCCAAUAUUUUAGAAAGGGUAUACUGACAUUGGAGAGAGUUCAGAGAUGAUUCACGAGAAUGAUUCCAGGAAUGAAAGGGUUAGCGUAUGAGGAACAUCUGGCAGCUCUUGGCUGUAUUCACUGGAGUUCAGGAGAAUGAGGGGGAAUCUCAUAGAAACAUUCCAAAUGUUAAAAUGCCUGAACAGAUUAUGUGAAGACCCUUCACAUGUCCGAACAGAUAUGGCAAAGUUAUUUCCCAUGGUAGGGGAGUCUAGGACAAGAGAACACAACUUCAGGAUUGAAGGACAUCCAUUUAGAACAGAGAGACAGAGAAAUUACUUUGGCCAGAGGGUGGUAAAUCUGUGGAAUUUGUUGCCAGGAGCAGCUGUGGAGGCCAAGUCAUUGGGUAUAUUUAAUGCAGAGAUAGAAAGGUUCCUGAUUAGCCAGGGCACCAAAUGGUAUGGGGAGAAGGCAGGGGAGUGGGGAUGACUGGAAGAAUUGAAUCAGCCCAUGAUUGAAUGACAGAGCAGACUUAAUGGAUUGAAUGGCCUACUUCUGCUCCUACAUUUUAUGGUCUUAUGUCUUACAUUACAAGCCCUUCAGCACACAGUGCUGUAUCAAACCAGUUAAAUUAGUCAUCAAAUGGCUAACUAAACUAAUCUCCUCUGCCUACACCAUGUCCAAAUCCUUCCAUUUUCCUCACGUUCAUGUGACUAACUAAACAUCACUUAGAAGUCCCUAAUGGUUCUGCCUCUGCCACCACUCCAGGCAACGCAUUCCAGGCACCCACCUCUCUGUGGAAACAAACUUGCUCCUUGUUUCUCCUUUGAAAUUAGCCCCUCUUACCUUAAAUGCAUGGCUUCUGGUAUAAAAUAUUUCAACACCAGGAAAAAGAUACUGUCUGUCUAAUCUAUCUGUGCCUCUCGUAGUCCUAUAACCCUCUACUAGGUUUCUUCUGUUCCGGAGAAAACAAUCCAAGUUUUUCCAACCUGCCAUCAUAGCACAUGCCCUCUAAUCCAGGCAACAUCCUCGCAAACAUCUUCUUUACCCUCACCGAAGCCCCAGCACCUUUCCUGUAAUGGGGGUGACCAGAACUGUAUGCAAUACUCCAGGUGUGGCCUGACUCGAGUUUUAUAAAGCUGCAACAUAACUUCCUUGCUUUUGAACUUAAUGCCUCAAAUAAUAAAAGCAAGCAUGCCAUUUGCCUUCCUAACCACUCUAUCAACCUGUGUAACUACUUUCAAGGAGUUAUGAACUUGGACUCCAGAAUUGCUCUGCUCAUCAACAAUUAAGAGCCUUGCACUUAAAAGUGUAAUGUCUCUAUACAUUUGACUUACCAAGGUGCAACCAUUCACGUUUGGGCAGGAGAAACUCUAUCUGCCAUUUCUCUGCCUAUAUCUGAAACUGAUCUAUAUUCUGUUGUAUUCUUUGCCAGUCUUCUAUACUAUCCCACAACAUCUUCAUAUCAUCUGCAAACUUACUAAUCCACCCAUCUAUUUUCAUCAUUUAUAUACAUCACAAAGAAUGGAGAUCACAGAACAGAUUCCUUUGGAAUACUACUAAUCACAGACCUCCAGCUAAAGCAAGUCCCUUUGACCAACACCUUCUGUCUUCUAUGGGCAAGCCAGUUCUGAGUACAAGUGGCCAAUCCAACAUUGGCCCCAUGCAUCUAAAUCUUCUGGGUGAGCCUCCCAUGGGGGCCUUUCUCAAAAGCCUUAUUAAAAUCUGUGUAGACAACAUUCACAGCUCUACCUUCAUCAAUCAGCCCUGUGACUUCAUCAAAAAAAUCAAUCAAGUUUGUAAGAUGUGUCUUGAUCUGCACAAAGUCAUGCUAGCUCUUCUUAAUCGGGUCAUGGUUUGCCAAAUGCUCAUAAAUUUUAUCCCUAAGAAAUCUCUCCAGUAACUUCUAUGAGUACAGACCAGUCUAUAGUUUCCAGGAUUAUCCCUGGUUCCCUUCUUAUCCUCCAAGACCAUGCCUGUGGCGAGAGAGAACACAAAGAUAUCAGUCAAGGCCCCAGCAAUCUCUUCUCCUGCCUCUUUCGAUAACCUAGGGUAUAGCCCAUCAGGUCCAGGAGACUUAUCUACAUUAAUGCUUUAAAGAGACCCAACACUAUCUUCCCCUGUACCUUGAAAUGACCUAACAUAUCAACAUGCUCAGUAUUGAUCUCCCUAACUUCCACAUCUUCUCCUUGGUAAAUACAGAUGUAAAGUACUCAUUAAGUACCUCACCUCAUCAUCCAUAUCUAAGCAAAUGUUCCUCCCUUUAUCCUUGCGUGGUCCUACCCUCUCCCAAGAUAUCCCUUUAUUCUUGACGUAUGUAUAAAAUGUCUUAGAAUACUCUUAAGUCCUACUUACAAAGGACUUUUCAUGGUCUCUCCAGGCUCUCCUAAUUCCCUAUUUAAGUUCAUUUCUGGCUUCUUUAUAACUCUCAAAGGGUGUUUGAUUCUAGCUUCCUAACCUUUACAUACUUCUGUUUUGCCUUCUUGACUAAGUUAAUCACCUCUCUUGACAUCCAAAGUACUCUUUCUUUACCAUCCUUGUCCUUCCUUCUGAAUAGAACAUACCUCUCCUAUACUGUGUGCAGUUGGUCUUUAAACGUCAGAUGUGGACUUGCCCAAAAACAGCUGUUCUCAAUGUACUCUCCCUAGUUCCUGCCUAAUGCUCUUGUAAUUUGCCCUACUCCUCUUCAAUACUCUGCAAAAAGACCCAUAUGAAACACUCUGGGUUCCUUGCCUGCGUAAGUCUAGGAAAGACCAUCGCAGGCCCCACCAGACAUGUCAGAUUGAGCCGCAAGCCCACCCCAAAACCCCAUUUGUGUGGAUGCUGUGUGAUUCGUUGCCCUGUUACAAAUAAGUGCUACAAAAUAACAGACAGUGCACCACAUACAAUUAAAAGAUUUAGCUUUAUAACUCUUAAUUUGACUAAAGGGUUAGUAAAAAAAAACAAGAAAAGGACACAUGUUAAUGAAAUAGUCCAAUGUGCACAAUUUGGAGCGCUCAGUUUCCCUGUCGCUAAUCCUCCAUCGAUCACCCAGACUUCUUCGAAUCACAGCCCCACUCUGGGUCAAAUGCAAUGACCUCUUCUCUCUUCCUCUCUCCAUAACCAAAGCCUCAAGCCCAACCUUAAUGUCCCUCACCAGAGAAACCUCCCCUUAAUCUGACCAUCUUAAUUGGAUGGCACACAAUUCUCCUUUCUCUUAUCUUCAACAGUAACCCAAACAUAAGGGGAAACCAAGCAGCUGACACAGACCAGCACAAAAUGAAAUGCAGAACAGCAUAAUAGUAAACAUAUAUGAACCAGGGCAUUACACAUACUUAUCCUUAUCUAUAGCUAUCUUAAAACUUGGGAGUUGUGGUCACUGUUUCAUCCACUGAAAGCUCAGACACCUGACCAGGCUCAUUACCCAACAGUACAGCCCCUAGUCUUGGUGGAUAAGCUUCAUAUUAAUUUUUAAAAAAACCUUCCUGAAAGCACCUAACAAAUUCUUCCACAUCUAAACCUCUUGCACUCAGAAAGUCCCAGUUUAUAAUAGGGAAGUUGAAUUCCCCCAUGACAUCAACCCCGUUGUUUUUACACCUUGACUGAAUCAGCUUGCAUAUAUGUUCCUCAAUGUUCCAGUGACGAUUGCAAGGUCAAUAGUACAAUUCUAUCAAAGUGUUUGCACCUUUCCUAUUUUUGAGUUCUACCCAUACUGACUCUGUGGACGAGUCCCUCAUUAUGUCUCCCCUGAGAGCAGCUGUGAUAUUGACCCUGAUUAGUGGUGCACCCCUCCCCCUUUUUUUUUACCUAUCUUCUCUAAAACAUCAAAAUCCUGGGAUAUUAAGCACCCAUUCCUGUCCCUCUCUCAACCGUGACUGUAAUGGCCACAACAAUGGAAUUUAGAAGAAUGUGGGGGGAUCUUAUUGAAACCUACCAAAUGCUGAAAGGACUAGAUAGGGUGGAUGUGGAGAGGAUGUUUCCUAUGGUGGGGGAGCCUAGGACCAGAGGACACAGAUAGAGUGGAUGUGGAGAGGAUGUUUCCUAUGGUGGGGGUAUCCAGAACUAGAGGGCACAGCCUCAAAAUUGAGGGUCGAUCUUUUAGAAUGGAGGGUGAGGAGGAUUUUUUUUUUUAGCCAGAAUCUGUGGAACGCUCUGCCACAGACUGUGGUGGAGGCCAUGUCUGUGGGUUAAUUUAAAACAGAAGUUGAUCGUUUCCUGAUCGGUCGGGGCAUCAAAGGAUAUGGAGAGAAGGCAGGUGUGUGGGGUUGAGUGGGAUCCGGGAUCAGUCAUGAUGGAAUGGCAGAACAGACUCGAUGGGCUGAAUGGCCUACUUCUGCUCCUAUGUCUUAUGGAACAUCAUAGAUCCAUGUACUCAUCCAUACUAUAAACUCAUCACCAUUUCCUAGCAUUAAAAUACACACCCUUCUAACUAUCCAUCCUACCAUUUCCAAUACCUUGCUCCUCCCUGUUUUUACAGCCUCUGACAUCUACAAACGUACCUUUCUCUCCAUCCCUCCAGUUUCUGAUCUGGUGCCCUGGUUCCUAUCCCCCUGUGAAACUACAAACGUUUGUAGGUUAAACCCUCCUGAGUAGCUCUAGCAAACCUCCUGCCCCAGAUGUUGGCUCUCCUCCAGCUUAGAUGCAACCCAUCCUUCUUGUACAGGUCUCCCCUUCCCCAAUAAAGGUUCCAGUGCUUUAAGAAACUGAAACGCUGUCCCUUGCGCCAAUUUCUCAGCCACUCAUUCAUCUGUAUGAUCAUUCUUUUCUUGCCCUGAUUAACACAUGGCACAGGGAGUAAUCCAGAGAUUACUCCAUGAAGGUCCAGUUCCUCAGCCUCUUCCCUAACCCCAUGUACUCACUGCAUAGGACCUCCUUCCCCUUUCUACUUGUGUCAUUUGUGUCAGUGUCCACUGUGACCUCUGGCUGCUCAUAUUCUCCCUCGUGAAUAUUCUGCAGUCACUCUUGGAUCCAAGCACCUAGGAGGCAAUACAUUACCUUGGUUUCUUUUUGUGGCCACAGAACCUCCUGUCUGUUCUCCCUAUCAAGCCGCCUAUCACUAUCGCUCUGCCUGACUUUACUCUUCCAUGCUGAGUCUCAGAGCCAUUCACAGUGUCACUGGCCUGGUUGUUGCUGUUGUGCUCUAACAGGUCACUACUCCCCAGCAGUAUCCAAAAGGGUAUACUUGAUGCUGAGGCCAAUGGCCACAGGGGAACCCUGCACCAAUUACUUACUCCCCUUAUUUUUCCACCUGGUCACCAAUUUACAAUCUGAAGCCUGCGCUCUGGGUGUGAGCAUUUCCAUAGAAGUUUCAGCUCUUCGUUUUUAGCCUCUUGUUUGGUCCUGAGUACAACCAGCUCCAGCUCCAGUUUUUUGACCUUGUCAGUCAGGAGCUGAGGUUGGGUGUGCUUCCUAUGGAUGCUAUCGUCAGGGAGUCCACUACAGGAGGAGCUUUCCACUGCCUUAACCACCAUCCUGCCUACAAUUGUUAUACCUUUGACUCUAACUUCUCAAGCUUAAGUUGUACAAUCAAAUAAAUGACUCCUUUUCUCACAAAGCCUGACCAUUCUAAUAGUGGCCCACUCUUACAAUGGCUGCUCCACUUAUCCUUCACUUCUUUUUAUUGCUAACUUACUAACAACACAAGCAAACUUCCACUCUGUAGACGUUCUGACAGGCCCUACUCACUUAUUAAAACUGAUGUGUAAGCUCCACAAGGAAUUGUCUCAAACAUUCCUCUUGACUUGAAAAUUAUGGGAUCAAUACCAUAGCUAGGACGUUGAUAGGGGCUGUGAAUACAAUAAAUAGUGGGGACCAAAAUCAUUACAGCUGGAUGUGACAAACGCGACACGACAAAAUUAAAGCAUUGUUUCCGAAUUGUCCUUAAAAUUCAGUUUCAUGUUCCAGUCUUGAGGACUAAGGCAAAAGUAUAUGUUACCAAAUCUUCUAGGUUAUGCAGAGAUCUUCAGAUUCCCACAUGGAAACUGUCUCCCUGACACCUGAUUCUCCCCUGCAGCCAUGUUAGUGAACUGGAAAUCCCACCAUAACAUCACAGUAUCAUCUCAAAUGAGGUCUAUCCAGACAUGCUAUAAAGCAUUACAUUUUCAUACUGAGACAGGCUGGUCAUCAAGAUGGUCCUCUUCAACUGUUCUUAGAAUUGUAAGCUCUGCAAAACAAUAAACAAAAUUAGUGAGGAAAGGUUGUGGGCUCAUUUCCUCUGGAUGAUACAUGCCCACCAUUUAUGAAUAACCUGUGGUCAUUUUAAUGUAAAAAUUAACAAUAAAACAUCAAACAAAUGUCUUCUUACUCCCUUACAUUCUCCCUUUUGAAAUAGGAAGUGGGAAAUACACAGUGUUGAUUUACACAACAUGUUUACAUUUCACAAGAGUAUCCCAAAAGAAGGGUUUGUUACCUGUGCGUAGCCUACCCUCAUUUCCUAAAGCGUGGAAGAUGAUUGAUUUGCCUUUGGAUCUGGCAGAAAGUUGACAUGGCAUGCCAUUGGUAUCAAACCUUCCUCAGUACUGAGCCAUGCCCACAAGUAAUAAAGGAUGGGAUCUGAAACACAAGCCCGUUUGACCACUCCCAAAUUCAGGCUGUAAUAACAACAUUUGACAUUUCAAAAUCUGAAAGCCCCUCUAUUUCUUCCACUGAAAGUCCCCAUUGUCUGGUGGAAGUGAGAGAUAACUAGCAUCACUACUCCACAGAUCUUAAUGCCUGAAAUACUUGUGGCUUUUUGCAACUGUUACUGUUUUCAUUCGGAAGCUGCUAAGUACUUACAGUGUUUUCUCUUCUUAUUUUCAUUCGAAAAUGUUUUGUGCCUCAAAUGGAUUCUGUUACCUUAUAUGAGUGAUAACCACCAAUCUGGCCACAGUAACCUAAGAUCCUAUUUGUUACACAGGCAGCUUCAGUGUGACAUUGUUAAUCUUUCAAAAUUCUGGAUGUAAUGCAUCUGCAGAUUUAUGAACUUUAUGUACUCAUUAAAAGAAUUCAGAAUCAGAAUCACAUUUAUUAUCAAUGACAUGUGACAUGAAAUUUGUUCUGCAAUAAAGACAUAAAAUCUAUAAAGGACAAAAAUAAAUAAAUAUUGCAAAAAGGGAUUGUGAGGUAUUGUUCAAGGGUUCGUGAACCAUUCGGAAAUGCGAUGGUGGAGGAGAAGAAACCGCUUUUAAAUUGUUGCAUGUGGGUUUCAGGCUCCUGUACCUCCUCCCCAAUGGUAGUAAAGACAGGAGGGCAUGUCCUGAAUGGUGAGGGUCCUUAAUGACGUAUGCUGCCUUCUUGACGCACAUUCUUCUGAAGAUGUCCUUGAUGGUGGGGAGGAUUGUGUCGGUGAUGGAGCUGGCUGAGACAAUAACCCUCUGCAGUCUCUUGUAAUUCUGUGUAUGGGAGGCUCCAUACCAAGCUGUGUUGUAACCAGUCAGAAUGCUCUCCACCAUAUAUCUACAGAAGUAUGCAACAGCCAUUAACAAUUCCCUCUAACUCCUAACAAGGUACAGCCACUGCUGUGCCUUCUUGCAAUGGGCUAGUUCCUGAAACGUUCACAACCAGGAACUCACUCCUCGCUGCCACUGACCCCACAAAUUUGGAUUUGUGUUUUCUCCCAACUUCUCCUUCCUGAAGUUCAUAAUCAGUUCCUUGGUCCUGCUGACAUUGAGUAUGAGUUUCUUGUUGUGACACCACUUAAGCUGUUCUAUCUCACUCAUGUGUGUGCCCUUAUCGACAUUUGGGAUUCUACCAACAACAGUAGUCUCGUUGGUGAAUUCAUAGGUGGUGUUUGAGUUGUGCUUAACUACACAGACAUGAACAUAGUGAAAGUAGAGCAAUGAGCUAAGCAUUCAUCCUUAAGGAAUGGAUGAGUUGACCAUCAGUGAGUAGAAGAGGCUAUUACCAAUCCAUAUUGACUGUGGUCUGUUGGUAAGAAAGUCAAGGAUUCAGUUGCAAAGGGAGAGUAAGAGGCCCAGGUUUUGAAGUUUGGGUAGUACUGAGGGAAUUGAUAAAAAAAAUAGCUUGAUGUAUUUCUUAUGGUUGCCUGGGUGCUCCAAAGCACAAUGGAGAAUUAUAGUCUGUUGAUGAAUGGAGUGAUUUCUAUCUACAGCUAACUCCUGUUCAUUGUAUAUUUAUGAAUCUUUGUCAACUAGCAGAAGAAUCUAAGCAUAUUAAACAAUUUCAUAUUUUUCAAAUAUGUAAAUUUGAAAGUGGUAUGUCUGGUUCCAAUAAAAUUUGCAUUUUUGUGCUGCCUCCAGUUUUUUGUUAGGUUAUUUACAUUUAUACACAAGGGCAGUGCGUUCGCAGCAUUUGAAGAUGCGAUAUUUCAAGUGAUGAUUGGUACAGUCAUUCAUUUGAUUUAUUUUUGCUCUGUUUUACAUUAGUACUGUUUAGCGUUAAAGUAUAGAACUGCACUGUGAAACAUUACAGUUUGAUAGGGUAAGGAGAUGAUAUGUUUGUGGCAAUUUACUUAAAGAUUUAUGCAUAAAAUAUUAGUGCGUGAUGUAAAAAUAUGCUUUUAUAUUCUCAUGCAACUAGCAUAUUCAUGCAACCGGCUCUCUAUUCCCCACGGAUGCUGGAUGGUUGAGAGGAUUCUGUAAUAGUUUCUGCAUUGAAUUUUCACUGAUCAGAUGUUCUGUGGUUACAUAAAAAGUAAAGUAUUCUCUGUUUCAGAUAAAACACCAGAAAAGUAUGGACAACUACAUCAAGGUUAAUCAUUCCAAUCUCCACUUCAAACAUCUUGUUGCUUUUCCUAGUGAGUUGGCAAAUUACAAUUUAAUUAGAUUAUAACUUUGAAAGAACUUCCAUCCAUUAGUCUGUGAUUCUUUUGAACCAAGAUUCUAAAAAUGUUGUAAUACAUCACUGAAUCAUUGUGCUCAUCUCUCCCUCUCUCUUAGGCUCUGCCUCGGAUUGCAAAAGGGCAUAGAGAAGUUUGGAAAAUGCCUAUACUUGAUUUUUUUUUAUGUGCAAUGGCUGUUGCUCAAUACAAUACAAUAUUUAACAAUGUUUGCUCCAUUAUUAAGGAGAUCCAAACCAAUUAAGGAACAGAUUUGUUGUAUGGAAUUAAACAUGCAGACAUGAACACAUACAAAUUUGAGGCCUAAUUAGGUUAUUGGGUUCCUUAACGACAUACAUAUAAAUAUAGUCUAUCAAAAUGCGUGCACACACACACACACACACACACACACACACACACACACACAAUCUGUAAGCCAGCUUGACCCUCUAAAGACCCAUUCUACACAACAUUGUUGUGCCCUUCUCACUUCACACUUGCUUCAAUGCAUUUUUAGACAUACUCUAUCAAUGAAAAAUUCAACCUGAUGUUUGAACAUCAGAGGCGUACAAGACUCCCAGCUCAUUAAUUUACAGGUCGAGUCUGAGGUAAAGAAGGCAAAUGCAAUGUUGGUAUUUAUUUCAGGGGAAUAGAAUAUAAAAGCAAGGAGAUAACUGCUUGAUUAUCAAUGAGAUAAGCAUUGAAAAAUUCUACUUCUUUUUAUAUUUUAAAACCAUUCAACCUAUAAUAGGCACCUUCUACCCACUUCAAACUGAUUUUGUGCUAUCACGAUCCAUCUAAACCAAUCAAGAUCCAUUACCCUACUUCAAAUACACUUCAUUCACUCCAGAUACUUAAUACUUAUUUGACUUCUCUAUAGUAAUACAAUUCUAAUUGAUUGAGCUUUCAUUAAAAAGAAUUAAAAGUUAUAAAGUUAGGCAUACAUUGAUGAGGACCGAACUUGAUCAAGGGCUGCUUCCUCAUUCUAUAUUUUCUUCACUGUACGAGGGAGUAAUGACAGAGAUCUUGAUGUAGUAGCAGUUACAUGCCUUUGAGGCAUUUACAAAAUAUAAACAGUUCUGCGGUGGCAUAUCUCACAUUUGUUCAGGAAAAAUCAGAUAAGCAUGAUGAUACACAAUUCACAAACAAUAGUUAUUACCUUUGAUCUGAUUGGAAAGAGGAACAUUCAGCUGUUCAUUAGGACAUGAACUUCUCAAUGAUAAUUCUGCGUUCGCUUUGUAGUGCCAAUUUUCAAAGAAAUUUCCUGUAUGUAGUGUUAUUGACAUCUUUUUGUUACAGUACCAAACCAAAUGACAUAAACUUUGAAGAAUCCAGUGCUGGUGGUGUUCAGGUACCUAUACCUUUGGACUGGUUAUGUUACAUGCCUAAAAUUCAUGCUGUGCCCAUGCUCACUGCAAAUAAAAUGUGCACUAAAGACUACUGCUUAAUACUGUGAUCUCAUGACAAACUGAUUUAUAAAACAAAUUGGCUAUAUUUUCCUGCAACAGGCAGAUAAAAAUUUUUGAUAAUAUUUAAAUUUGUAUAUGUUUGGAAUGUUGAUUUUUUUUGGAUGGCAAGGGAACUAAGUGAACAUGGCACCAUAAAAUUACCCCAAGGAUUGUGAAACUAACAUGACAAGAAAUGGAAAUGAAGCAUAAACUAGUUCUGGUGAUUUCAAUAUGAAUCAGGAAUAGAAAAAUAAAACGGGCAGGAAUAAGAAAGACGAACAAACAAAGUGAGUAUUGAAAAAAAAUCUCCAGGUAUGUCUGAGAACCAGGAGAUUGUUAAUGAUUGUUUGGCACACCAAAACAGUUUCACAAUUAAUAUAGAAGCUCCUGAAG